UACGUAGGGGGCGAGCGUUGUCCGGAUUUAUUGGGCGUAAAGAGCGUGUAGGCGGCCAGGUAGGUCCGUUGUGAAAACUCGAGGCUCAACCUCGAGACGUCGAUGGAAACCAUCUGGCUAGAGUCCGGAAGAGGAGAGUGGAAUUCCUGGUGUAGCGGUGAAAUGCGCAGAUAUCAGGAAGAACACCCGUGGCGAAGGCGGCUCUCUGGGACGGUACUGACGCUGAGACGCGAAAGCGUGGGGAGCGAACAGG
rnacentral:rRNA from 1 species